rnacentral:tRNA from 1 species
GCGCCUUUAGCUCAGCUGGAUAGAGCGUCUGGCUACGGACCAGAAGGUCGGGGAUUCGAAUUCCUCAAGGCGUACCA